GACGAACGCUGGCGGCGUGCUUAACACAUGCAAGUCGAACGGAAAGGCCCUGCUUUUGUGGGGUGCUCGAGUGGCGAACGGGUGAGUAACACGUGAGUAACCUGCCCUUGACUUUGGGAUAACUUCAGGAAACUGGGGCUAAUACCGGAUAGGAGCUCCUGCUGCAUGGUGGGGGUUGGAAAGUUUCGGCGGUUGGGGAUGGACUCGCGGCUUAUCAGCUUGUUGGUGGGGUAGUGGCUUACCAAGGCUUUGACGGGUAGCCGGCCUGAGAGGGUGACCGGCCACAUUGGGACUGAGAUAGGGCCCAGACUCCUACGGGAGGCAGCAGUGGGGAAUAGUGCACAAUGGGCGGAAGCCUGAUGCAGCACCGCCGCGUGCGGGAUGACGGCCUUCGGGUUGUAAACCGCUUUCGCCUGUGACGAAGCGUGAGUGACGGUAAUGGGUAAAGAAGCACCGGCUAACUACGUG
rnacentral:rRNA from 1 species